CGGCUUGCAGCGCAACGUGUGUGAAUCGGAAAAAAGCUUCCUGAAUAAAACGCUUAAAAAAAGGUUAUGGCCAAGUCUAACAAGAUAUCCUAGCUAUGUACCGCACACCGGAAAUAGGAAUCGAUUAGAGAGGCUUAUAAUGCAAGAUUUCAGGCAGGGUGAAAACGAGGUUAUGUAAUGAAAUGUCUCAUCGCCGCAACUUCGUACCUGCACUACCGAAGAAUAUUAAUUAACGUAAUGCGGAAACGUUGCGACUGCUCGGUCGUGCAACCAACCUCAACACCAAGAACAACAAACAACAAGCGCCGCCACCGACUGGACUCUGAAUCGAAUGCUGGACGUCCCAACGUCGAGAGCAACAAACGUCGCAUGAAUAAGAAAUGCACGGAAUGCGAAAUUUAUAUACCGGUGGUGUUAGCCCACUCGACUCGGGGAUCAGUUGAGACUUUUCCGGAUGCCAGCAAACACUAUCGCAUAUUCUAGCGCCAGUUUACCGCCGCCGGCCAUGUUCUUUAUGUUGGAUCAACAAACUCCACUCUAAAAUGUCGCAAACGAUAUUUUUCUACAAACUAAAAAUAUUUCACAUAAUUUUUAUAUUCAUUUGUGAUUCACUUUAAUGAAUUGCAUAUUCAUUUGCAUUUACAUUCUUUAUUUGUCCGCUGACUGAAACUGUGAGUUUUGCGAGAGUAA